rnacentral:misc_RNA from 1 species
UCAUCUAUGAUUAUUGCAAAGACACUGAGAGGUACCCAACACUGCCAGUGAAGUGCUCUUUGAGCCCAUGGAAUUGAAAUUGAUGACCAAUUGACCCUGUGAUCAAUUUUUUCUUCUUUUACUAUUUUUAUUCCUUUUUAUUUGUAUAUUUUGAGAUGAGUUUAAAAUGCGUAUUUUUUGUCCCAUGGACCCAUCUUUGUGUUGCAUUAUUG